rnacentral:lncRNA from 1 species
UGUGUGAUCUUAUUGCAGAUAUUUUUGAAUUGAAAUGAAAUUAUCUAUCUAUUGUAAAAAAAAAAGAUUGAAGGACCAUCAUUUUUACUUUUAUAUUAUACACCCUUUUUUGUUGUUGAAUAUUAAGUGGAUGACAUUCCAAUGUUUCACCAUAGGUUGCUUUAAACUUAUUGUAACAGUGGGCAAUCAGAUGAAGAAUGGGGUUAAAUGGGCCAGGCCUGACCAUUCAAUUCCAUUCUUCAUCUGACUCUAAAACAACCUGAAACAAUUUGGAUGUAUGAGACAUGGAAUUAAAUAUAAAUAUUCCAUGAUAGAAACAUAACAUGCUUCUGUUUUUGCUGCUGUUUGGCUAUCAUUAUUGU